rfam:Myotis lucifugus cont2.9815, whole genome shotgun sequence.
GAAACACCAUUAGGGGGCAGGACUUGCUUCAGUGGGGCUUUGGUGCUCACUGAGUCUGCCCCCUGGGUGUGUCUCU